rnacentral:rRNA from 1 species
GUCUACAGCCAUGCCACCCUGAACGUGACCAAUCUCGUCUGAUCUCGGAAGCUAAGCAGGGUCAGGCCUGGUUAGUACUUAGAUGAGAGACGGGCUGGGAAUACCAGGUGCUGCAGGCA